GAUGAACGCUGGCGGCGUGCCUAAUACAUGCAAGUCGAGCGAAUGGAUUAAGAGCUUGCUCUUAUGAAGUUAGCGGCGGACGGGUGAGUAACACGUGGGUAACCUGCCCAUAAGACUGGGAUAACUCCGGGAAACCGGGGCUAAUACCGGAUAACAUUUUGAACCGCAUGGUUCGAAAUUGAAAGGCGGCUUCGGCUGUCACUUAUGGAUGGACCCGCGUCGCAUUAGCUAGUUGGUGAGGUAACGGCUCACCAAGGCAACGAUGCGUAGCCGACCUGAGAGGGGGAUCGGCCACAGUGGGCCUGAGACACGGCCCAGACUCCUACGGGAGGCAGCAGUAGGGAAUCUUCCGCAAUGGACGAAAGUCUGGCGGAGCAACGCCGCGUGGGUGAUGAAGGCUUCCGGGUCGUAAAACUCUGUUGUUAGGGAAGAACGAGUGCUAGUUGAAUAAGCUGGCACCUUGACGGUACCUAACCAGAAAGCCACGGCUAACUACGUGCCAGCCGCCGCAGUAA
rnacentral:rRNA from 1 species